rnacentral:lncRNA from 1 species
CUGGUUAAACGAUGUAUAAAGGAGGAAAAAAUUGCAGAUAUUGCAUUACGAUGCUUUCUACCUAAUAGCACGUGGAUAUGUUUACAUAUUUAGACUUGACCCAGUAUGACCCGUACCUUGUAGGUCACCGCCGUCGUUUAAACACUAGACUACAGUCGUGUAUAAGACAAUAAAAUGCUUAAGCCUGUACUAUUUGUGUGAAGUAAAUGUGUUUUUUCUGUACAUUUAAAUUGUUUUACCUGAUAGCAAGGACGUAUAUCUAUCCGUUUCCUUCUCAAUUCACUUUGUCAAUUUCUUCGAGCUCCUUCAAAACAUACGUAUUACUGCGCCCGGAAGUGAAAAAAAUAUUAGAAAUCCUCGUAAAAUAAUGCUAUUUUCAAUUUUGUGGAAUCCAUUUUGUUAUAUUUAUUAUAUAAAGAUAAAAAAAGUUACGAUUAAUUAUGAAUUUGCAUAUCAUUAUACGGAACGUUUAUGGACUAUUUUUCCAUAGCUGUAAGUCGGUCAUUUUGGCGGGAAAUCAUGUACACAUACACACGUAGAUUGGCUGGUACCUGAUCGUAAUGUUACACAUCAGAUAUAUCAAAUAGCUAAUACCCGGAACGUAGUACCGGGAACCAGGAUAAUACGUAGACAACAUACAUAACUAAUACCGAAAUUGAAAACGCUUUACGGUUUCUCGUUUAUAAACUGAAUUCCGCUUUGAAUUAUAGAAGAUGCAAUAUUAAUCAUGUUCAGUCGACUUUUCAUUGUUAUAUCAACGUCUGAACUAAUUAAAAAAUCUUUAGAUCUCAGAUAACACUCGAAAUUGACCCGACCUCUUUCCACACGGAAUACAAAUAAUGAUAGUUUGUAGUCAGGUUGACUGCUUAUAAUGCAAAAUACACAUUAAUAACAAGUUCUAUAAAACGAACAAUACACACUGAUCGUUUCUUUAGUCCCCAAUGUAAAUGAAAGAAACAAAAACCAUAUCAUACCAUAAAAAGAAGAGGAGAAAUUCGAACAUUUCCGGAUCUUUUUCUGGCCAAAAGACCCCCUGCAUAGAUUGCGUAUGAAAAGAUUAACCUCAUGACUUGAAAGUCAGGCCUUAAAGCACUGCCUUUAAAAACUAUA